GACAGAGGCCUCAAGCGUUAGGCGGAAUCACUGGGCUUAAAGCGUGUGUAGGCGGACGCCUAAGUACCUUGUGAAAUCCCACGGCUCACCCGUGGAACGGCUGGGUAUACUGGGCGUCUUGGGCCAACUAGGGGCAACUGGAACAAGCGGUGGAGCGGUGAAAUGCGUAGAUAUCGGGAGGAACACCAAUGGCGAAGGCAGCUUGCUGGGACGGUACUGACGCUGAGGCGCGAAAGCGUGGGGAGCAAACAGG
rnacentral:rRNA from 1 species